GGCUGCAAUUCAUGGGGUCACAAAAAGUCAUACACGACUGAUCGACUGAACUGAACUGAACUGAACAAGUCCAAAACUGAACUCAUUACCUCCCCUCCACAGACCCGCUGCUUCUCUAUUCAGAGCACCUACCUGCCAAGUCACUCUCAUCACAAACCCAGGAACUUCCUUCCUCUUCUCCCCCAGUCUCCAAUAGGCCACAAAACGCUGUCACUUCUGAAUCAGAACUGUCUGAGCAUCUUGCCUCUCUCCUCACUCUGCUGAUUUCCUCUGACUUGCAUCCUCUGUCAAAGCCGUGCCCCUCUGCCCUUAGUCUUUCCACCCUGUGGUGAUUCUCUGAAAUAUAGAUGUGAUCAUUUUGCUCCUAACUUAAAAAGUUUGGCUACCCUUGGCUGAUAGAAGAUAGAAUAGAAACCCCCAUUCACAGACCUUAAGGCUUUUCCAUAGCCUGGUCCCAGCCCCUUUUCAGCUCCAUUUUCAGUCAUACUGCAUUGCCCACUGUUCUCUGAAUCAACAAUGUCUUUUUAUGGCUCCAUGGCUUUGAAUGCCUCCAUGCAUCCAACUGAAUAUAGCGGUUAAAGGCGUGGGUGCUAGAGCCAGGCUGCCUCAGUUUGAAUUCUAGCCCCGCUGUGACUAGUGAAAGGAGCCCAGGCAUGGACAUAAAUUCUCUGUGGCCCAGGAGUCCUGUCUGUAAUGAGCUUGAUAAUAAAGGUACCUAUCAAUAAAGUUUUAGAGUUUGGAACAUUGUUAGUACUCAAUAAACACUGGCCAGCAUUCUUUCUACAAAUGUGUGGACAUUGCUUUGGCUUGUCUAUGCCCCUUGAAGGCAGGAACUUUGCCACAUUUCAUUUCUGGAUUCCUGAUGUGUGACUGAGAGUAGGUGCUCAGUUAAUACUGAGUUAGUAAAACAGCCAGCAGUGGUAUCUUAGUAGUGGUGUAACUGGGGGAGGGGAAGGAACUCCUCUGAUCCUAUAUUAGGUCUUGGGAGGAAGCACAAGAAGGUAGUUAGGGCUAUUUCUAAACAGGCUGGUCCCUAGUGGCUGCUCGGCUUUCAUCAGAUAGGCAACCUGCUUAUCUGCAACAAUGGUUCUCAACUCUGACUACAUAUUUGAAUCACUUGGGAAGCUUUUUAAAAAGGUGAUGCCUGUCACCUUUGCCUACUUAGAGGGUUCUGAUUUAAUUGGUCUGGGUGGAGGUUAGUCAUCGUAGUUUUAAAAAGCUCCCCAGGUGAUUCUAAAGUGCAGCCAAAUUGUGAAGCACAGGCCUGAGAGCAGCUUUGGGCAGCUCUGCUCUUUUAGAUCAUUUGGCUGGCAGUGGCUGGGGAGUCAGACACAGACCUGGCUCCUGGCUUCAGAUCCCUGUGACUACCAAAGAUGCUCACAGCAGGGUUAGCUGUGCUUGGAGGCAGACUUUUCCUGGGCUUCCUUGGUGGUUCAGUGGUUAAAAAUCCACCUGCCAAUGCAGGAGACACGGAUUCGAUCCCUGAUCUGGGAAGGUCCACAUGAUGCAGAGUAAAUAAGUCCGAGCACCACAACUGCUGAGCUUUUCCCUAGAGCCUGGGAGCCACAGCUACCGAGCCCAUGUGCCUUUCCUGAAGCCUGCGAGCCCUCGAGUCCCUACUCCACAACAAGAGCAGCCACCGCAAUGCGAAGCCUGCACACGGCAGCUACAGGAAAGGCCUGCAGAGCAAUGAAGCCCCGACACAGCCAGAAAUAAAUGAAUAAAAUUAUUAAAAAAAA